UACGAAGGGGGCUAGCGUUGCUCGGAAUCACUGGGCGUAAAGGGUGCGUAGGCGGGUUUUUAAGUCAGGGGUGAAAUCCUGGAGCUCAACUCCAGAACUGCCUUUGAUACUGGCGAGCUUGAGUCCGGGAGAGGUGAGUGGAACUGCGAGUGUAGAGGUGAAAUUCGUAGAUAUUCGCAAGAACACCAGUGGCGAAGGCGGCUCACUGGCCCGGUACUGACGCUGAGGUGCGAAAGCGUGGGGAGCAAACAGG
rnacentral:rRNA from 1 species